UAAAAAAAGGUAAGCUACUAAGAGCGAAUGGUGGAUGCCUUGACUGGUAAAGGCGAUGAAGGACGUACUAGACUGCGAUAAGCUACGGGGAGCUGUCAAGAAGCUUUGAUCCGUAGAUUUCCGAAUGGGGCAACCCAAUGUAUAGAGAUAUACAUUACCUAUAUAGGAGCGAACGAGGGGAAUUGAAACAUCUUAGUACCCUCAGGAAAAGAAAUCAAUAGAGAUUGCGUCAGUAGCGGCGAGCGAAAGCGCAAGAGGGCAAACCCAGUGCUUGCACUGGGGGUUGUAGGACUGCAAUGUGCAAGAGCUGAGUUUAGCAGAACAUUCUGGAAAGUAUAGCCAUAGAGGGUGAUAGUCCCGUAUGCGAAAAACAAAGCUUAGCUAGCAGUAUCCUGAGUAGGGCGGGACACGAGGAAUCCUGUCUGAAUCCGGGUCGACCACGAUCCAACCCUAAAUACUAAUACCAGAUCGAUAGUGCACAAGUACCGUGAGGGAAAGGUGAAAAGAACUGAGGUGAUCAGAGUGAAAUAGAACCUGAAACCAUUUGCUUACAAUCAUUCAGAGCACUAUGUAGCAAUACAGUGUGAUGGACUGCCUUUUGCAUAAUGAGCCUGCGAGUUGUGGUGUCUGGCAAGGUUAAGCAAACGCGAAGCCGUAGCGAAAGCGAGUCUGAAUAGGGCGCUUAGUCAGAUGCUGCAGACCCGAAACGAAGUGAUCUAUCCAUGAGCAAGUUGAAGCUAGUGUAAGAACUAGUGGAGGACUGAACCCAUAGGCGUUGAAAAGCCCCGGGAUGACUUGUGGAUAGGGGUGAAAGGCCAAUCAAACUUCGUGAUAGCUGGUUCUCUCCGAAAUAUAUUUAGGUAUAGCGUUGUGUCGUAAUAUAAGGGGGUAGAGCACUGAAUGGGCUAGGGCAUACACCAAUGUACCAAACCCUAUCAAACUCCGAAUACCUUAUAUGUAAUCACAGCAGUCAGGCGGCGAGUGAUAAAAUCCGUCGUCAAGAGGGAAACAACCCAGACUACCAGCUAAGGUCCCUAAAUCUUACUUAAGUGGAAAACGAUGUGAAGUUACUUAAACAACCAGGAGGUUGGCUUAGAAGCAGCCAUCCUUUAAAGAAAGCGUAAUAGCUCACUGGUCUAGUGAUUUUGCGCGGAAAAUAUAACGGGGCUAAAGUAAGUACCGAAGCUGUAGACUUGCACACAACUUAGAUUAUUUAAGUUUAGAAUAUGAGAAACUAAGUUAUAUGUUUAGUUAUAUUUUUACUGAUUUUUAUAGAGUAAAGAUAGAAAUAAAACUUAGUAAAAUCAGUAAAAAUAUUCUUAGGCUAAAGUUAAGUAGUUUAAGUUGUGUGCAAGUGGUAGGAGAGCGUUCUAUUUGCGUCGAAGGUAUACCGGUAAGGAGUGCUGGAGCGAAUAGAAGUGAGCAUGCAGGCAUGAGUAGCGAUAAUUAAUGUGAGAAUCAUUAACGCCGUAAACCCAAGGUUUCCUACGCGAUGCUCGUCAUCGUAGGGUUAGUCGGGUCCUAAGCUGAGUCCGAAAGGGGUAAGCGAUGGCAAAUAGGUUAAUAUUCCUAUACCAACAUUAGUGUGCGAUGGAAGGACGCUUAGGGCUAAGGGGGCUAGCGGAUGGAAGUGCUAGUCUAAGGUCGUAGGAGGUUAUACAGGCAAAUCCGUAUAACAAUACUCCGAGAACUGAAAGGCUUUUUGAAGUCUUCGGAUGAAAAGAAGAACCCCUGAUGCCGUCGAGCCAAGAAAAGUUUCUAAGUUUAGCUAAUGUUGCCCGUACCGUAAACCGACACAGGUGGGUGGGAUGAGUAUUCUAAGGCGCGUGGAAGAACUCUCUUUAAGGAACUCUGCAAAAUAGCACCGUAUCUUCGGUAUAAGGUGUGCCUCCCUUUGUAUUAGAAUUCACUUCGAAAGCAAAGAAGGUUACAACAAAGAGUCCCUCCCGACUGUUUACCAAAAACACAGCACUCUGCUAACUCGUAAGAGGAUGUAUAGGGUGUGACGCCUGCCCGGUGCUCGAAGGUUAAUUGAUGGGGUUAGCAUUAGCGAAGCUCUUGAUCGAAGCCCGAGUAAACGGCGGCCGUAACUAUAACGGUCCUAAGGUAGCGAAAUUCCUUGUCGGUUAAAUACCGACCUGCAUGAAUGGCGUAACGAGAUGGGAGCUGUCUCAAAGAGGGAUCCAGUGAAAUUGUAGUGGAGGUGAAAAUUCCUCCUACCCGCGGCAAGACGGAAAGACCCCGUGGACCUUUACUACAGCUUGACACUGCUAUUUGGAUAAGAAUGUGCAGGAUAGGUGGGAGGCUUUGAGUAUAUGACGCCAGUUGUAUAUGAGCCAUUGUUGAGAUACCACUCUUUCUUAUUUGGGUAGCUAACCAGCUUGAGUUAUCCUCAAGUGGGACAAUGUCUGGUGGGUAGUUUGACUGGGGCGGUCGCCUCCCAAAUAAUAACGGAGGCUUACAAAGGUUGGCUCAUAGCGGUUGGAAAUCGCUAGUAGAGUAUAAAGGUAUAAGCCAGCUUAACUGCAAGACAUACAAGUCAAGCAGAGACGAAAGUCGGUCUUAGUGAUCCGGUGGUUCUGUGUGGAAGGGCCAUCGCUCAAAGGAUAAAAGGUACCCCGGGGAUAACAGGCUGAUCUCCCCCAAGAGCUCACAUCGACGGGGAGGUUUGGCACCUCGAUGUCGGCUCAUCGCAUCCUGGGGCUGGAGCAGGUCCCAAGGGUAUGGCUGUUCGCCAUUUAAAGCGGUACGCGAGCUGGGUUCAGAACGUCGUGAGACAGUUCGGUCCCUAUCUGCCGUGGGCGUAAGAAGAUUGAAGAGCUUUGACCCUAGUACGAGAGGACCGGGUUGAACAAACCACUGGUGUAGCUGUUGUUCUGCCAAGAGCAUCGCAGCGUAGCUAAGUUUGGAAAGGAUAAACGCUGAAAGCAUCUAAGCGUGAAGCCAACUCUAAGAUGAAUCUUCUCUAAGCUCUCUAGAAGACUACUAGUUUGAUAGGCUGGGUGUGUAAUGGAUGAAAGUCCUUUAGCUGACCAGUACUAAUAGAGCGUUUGGCUUAUCUUUAAUAAAGCAU
rnacentral:rRNA from 1 species